rnacentral:lncRNA from 1 species
UUCUUGUAGGGUCUGGAUUGGGACCCUUUUCUGGUAACAUCUUCCUGGUGACCAUGAAGGGACAAUACUGAAGAGACCCCUGACCCUAAGGAAAUAGACUGCAGCACCAAUGGGCCAACUUUGGUGAUCUCUGGCUGCUGCUCAGAAGAAACAAGAGGGAGGGAUGAAUAAUGUAAAACUCUGGAUCAAUAUUCUAAUUCUGAGCCUCUAUUGGAAUCAGCUAGCAACCACAUAUCAGCUUGGUUUCAACAGUUUCCCAGUUCAUGCUGCUGAGAAGUUCAGAGUCAAACCUGAAUCUCACCUCUGCAAAGAGCACAGGACUCCAUGGCAAACGUUGUAUAUACGCAAGUCAUCCCUGGCACCACAUUGAUUUACUGCACCAGGCUUUCUUCAUUGUGAUGAUGUUCUCUCUCUUUUCUAAAAAAAAAAUAAAAAUAAAAUUUAAAAAAUCC